rnacentral:sRNA from 1 species
GCCGGGCACGGUGGCCCACACCUGUCAUCCCAGCAGCUCGGGAGGCCGAGGCAGGAGGAUCGCAAGUUGGAGGCCAGCCUCGGCAACUCAGCGAGACUUUGUCUCUA